UACAGAGGGGGCCAGCGUUAUUCGGAAUUAUUGGGCGUAAAGGGCGCGUAGGCGGCUUUGCGUGUCUUUCGUGAAAUCCCUCGGCUCAACUGAGGACGUGCGGAAGAAACUGCAGGGCUGGAGUCCGGGAGAGGAGGGUGGAAUUCCCAGUGUAGCGGUGAAAUGCGUAGAUAUUGGGAGGAACACCGGUGGCGAAGGCGGCCCUCUGGACCGGUACUGACGCUGAGACGCGAAAGCGUGGGGAGCAAACAGG
rnacentral:rRNA from 1 species